AUGUCGUCGCUCGCGGUCGGCCGCGGGCUGGACCUGGACUUGGAGUUGGGGAACUGGUUCGCGGGUCUCUUCUCUGGGCCGGAGCUUGCGGCGGCGGAGCUGCUGCUGCAGCUCAGCGUUCUCAGAGAGGCGGAGGCGGAGGCGAAGGCGAAGGCGGAGCCCACCAAGUCCUCGCGGUGUUCGGCGGGCUCGCGCUGCGAGGGGCUGUCCGUCGAGGCAGAGGAGCGGGUCGUCGAGGAGAUUCCAGCGUCGGCGUCCACGGGACUGGACAGGCGGGCGAGGAAGAGGUACCGCCUGCUGUCGGAGCUCUACGCCGACACGAUCCUCGCGAAGAAGAGGAGGAAGACGCACCACGACCACGGCGGGCCGUCAUCGGAGUCCAAGGAGACGAGGUACGGCGGAGACUACUAG
rnacentral:rRNA from 1 species